rnacentral:rRNA from 1 species
GCGGUAAUACAGAGGGUGCGAGCGUUAAUCGGAUUUACUGGGCGUAAAGCGUGCGUAGGCGGCUUUUUAAGUCGGAUGUGAAAUCCCUGAGCUUAACUUAGGAAUUGCAUUCGAUACUGGAAAGCUAGAGUAUGGGAGAGGAUGGUAGAAUUCCAGGUGUAGCGGUGAAAUGCGUAGAGAUCUGGAGGAAUACCGAUGGCGAAGGCAGCCAUCUGGCCUAAUACUGACGCUGAGGUACGAAAGCAUGGGGAGCAAACAGGAUUAGAUACCCUGGUAGUCCAUGCCGUAAACGAUGUCUACUAGCCGUUGGGGCCUUUGAGGCUUUAGUGGCGCAGCUAACGCGAUAAGUAGACCGCCUGGGGAGUACGGUCGCAAGACUAAAACUCAAAUGAAUUGACGGGGGCCCGCACAAGCGGUGGAGCAUGUGGUUUAAUUCGAUGCAACGCGAAGAACCUUACCUGGCCUUGACAUACUAAGAACUUUCCAGAGAUGGAUUGGUGCCUUCGGGAACUUAGAUACAGGUGCUGCAUGGCUGUCGUCAGCUCGUGUCGUGAGAUGUUGGGUUAAGUCCCGCAACGAGCGCAACCCUUUUCCUUAUUUGCCAGCGGGUAAUGCCGGGAACUUUAAGGAUACUGCCAGUGACAAACUGGAGGAAGGCGGGGACGACGUCAAGUCAUCAUGGCCCUUACGGCCAGGGCUACACACGUGCUACAAUGGUCGGUACAAAGGGUUGCUACCUCGCGAGAGGAUGCUAAUCUCAAAAAGCCGAUCGUAGUCCGGAUCGCAGUCUGCAACUCGACUGCGUGAAGUCGGAAUCGCUAGUAAUCGCGGAUCAGAAUGCCGCGGUGAAUACGUUCCCGGGCCUUGUACACACCGCCCGUCACACCAUGGGAGUUUGUUGCACCAGAAGUAGGUAGUCUAACCGCAAGGAGGACGCUAC